AGGGGGAAAAAUUAAUUAAUAAAUAAAUAAUAAAAGAAUUUUUAAUAAAAAAUAAUUUAAUGGGGGUUAAAGUAUUUUUUAUAGAAAAAAUUAAAAUAUUGAUAGUAAAUUAGUAUUGUAAAAGAAUUUCGAAAUAAUUGAAAAUUAAAUUGGGGGAAAGUAGAUUUAAUUUAUCAUAUCUUGGGUAUCAGAGUUUAUUAAUAAUAGGGUUUAGUUAAAAAGUUCUCGAAUUUAAUAGAGUUAAUUAAUUAUAAAAGUUAAUGUAGAAUAAUUAUUUUAAAUAGUUAAUUGGAAAUGAAAUGUUAAUCGUUAUUAAAUAUAUCUAGUUUUUUUAGAAAAAAAUUUAAUUUUAAAUAUAAUAUUCAAAAUUUUAAUUAAUUAAAAUUUUGAAUAUUAUAUUAAAUAUUUUAAGGGAUAAGCUUUAAAGUAAAUUUUUAUAAUAUUAUUUUAUUUUUAUUAAAAAUUUUAGAAUUUAAAUUGUUUUAUUAAUAUCUUCUAAUAUAGCAGCUCCCCCCUCUAUAAAUUUAAUAGGGGAAAUUAGAUUAAUUAAUGGGGUUGUUAGAUGAUCUUAUUUAUCNNAAGUAAAAUUAAUUAUAAUGAUAAAAUUAGUAUAUAAAUAAUUUAAUAUUUAUUAUUUUAUGAAAAAUUAAGAAGAGGAAUUCGGCAAAAAUUUAUAUUCACUUGUUUAUCAAAAACAUGUCUUUUUGAUAAUAAUUUAAAGUUUAAUCUGCCCACUGAUAUAAAAUUAAAGGGCUGCAGUAUUUUGACUGUACAAAGGUAGCAUAAUCAAUAGUCUUUUAAUUGAUGACUUGUAUGAAAGAUUGGAUGAAAUAUAAACUGUCUUUUUUUAAUUUAUGAAAUUUAAUUUUUUAGUCAAAAAGCUAAAAUAAAUUUAAAAGACGAGAAGACCCUAUAGAGUUUAAUAAUUUAUUUAAUUAUUAUUUUUAUGGUUAUUUUUAUUAAAAAUAUUAAAUAAAUUAUUUUAUUGGGGUGAUAGAAAAAUUAAAAAAACUUUUUUUAUAAUUAUACAUAAAUAAAUGAGUAAAUGAUCCAUUAAUAAUGAUUAUAAGAAAAAAUUACCUUAGGGAUAACAGCGUAAUUUUUUUUUUUAGUACAAAUAAGAAAAAGAGUUUGCGACCUCGAUGUUGGAUUAAGAUAAAAUUUAAACGCAAAAGUUUAAAAUUUUGAUCUGUUCGAUCAUUAAAAUCUUACAUGAUCUGAGUUCAAACCGGUGUAAGCCAGGUUGGUUUCUAUCUUUAAAUAAAAAUAAUAUUUUAGUACGAAAGGAUUAAAUAUUAAAAAUAAUUUUAUAAUUAUGAAUGUCAAUAAUUAAUAGUAAAA
rnacentral:rRNA from 1 species